rnacentral:rRNA from 1 species
AAGUACGGGAGCGCUCANUGGGCCAUUCUUGGUAAGCAGGACUGGCGCUGSGGGAUGAACCGAACGCCGGGUUACGGGGCCUUAUUGSGGGUCGACCCUYAUNARAGCCCAUAAAAGGGGUUGGUCGAUACAGACAGCAGGACGGUGGCCAUGGAAGUCGGAAUCCGCCAAGGAGUGUGUAACAACUCACCUGCCGAAUCGACUAGCCCUGAAAAUGGAUGGCGCUGAGCGUGCCGCCCAUACCCGGCCGUCGGGGCAGAGANCGGUGGACCGGCCCCCGGGUGGUAGGCCCGACGAGUAGAGGCCNCCGCGGUGCGCGUUAAGCGCCGGCCGCUGAGCCGCGUGGACCGCCGCGGGCGCAGAUCUUGGUGGUAGUAGCAAAUAUUCGAGUGAGAUCCUCGA